AAGGAGUCUAUCCUAUAUGCGAGUGUGCAGGUGAAAAACCUAUACGCGAAAUGAAAGUGAAAGGUGCGCAGUGUAAACAGCAGCAUCGACCGACCUGGUAAGAAAGGUUUGCGUAAGAGCAUAUCUGAUAGGACCCGAAAGAUGGUGAACUAUGCCUGAGUAGGGUGAAGUCAGGGGAAACCCUGAUGGAGGCUCGAAGCGGUGCUAACGUGCAAAUUGCUCGUCAAACUUGGGUAUAGGGGCGAAAGACUAAUCGAACCAUCUAGUAGCUGGUUCCCUCCGAAGUUUCCCUCAGGAUAGCUGGAACAAUUAUGCAGUUUUAUCAGGUAAAAGCGAAUGAUUAGAGGUCUCAGGACUAUUAUGGUCUUGUCCUAUUCUCAAACUUUAAAUUGGUAAGUAACUCUUUGUUCUCUUAACUGAACA
rnacentral:rRNA from 1 species